UGCUGCCUCUGCAGAGCGAUUUGUGAAACUAGUGCAUUCUUUUCCAUACAACUAACAACAACUGGCUUAAAGUCGGUAUUACGGAUGCUUUUGUCUGCCACACAACAGCAGAUAUUUAGCAAUUUCGUUUGUCAAAUUUGCGACACCUUUUGUAUCUGGUGCUGAAUUGUUGCUAACUAUCUGCAAGUGUAAAAUUUGUGAAAUUAAAUUAAUUAACUUGAUUUAGGUAUGUACUAUGGACAGAGCUCAAAUAAUAAAGGGGUUUGGAGUCUAAGGAAAUUAGGUCGGAUACAUACGAAUCAGUGCGUUUGCGACGCUGUCUUCGUGAUUAAGCCUGACCCUUUAAUCUAUCGGAAAGUUUGUUCAGAACACAUUACAGAAUUUCGAAACAUCAAUAUUUACAAUUGUGCUCUGAAUUAAAGCCGUUAAUAACCUAGAUCAUCAAGACGAACAAGAAUAGAAAGUAAAAUGCAAGGUGUUAACAGCAUUGCAAAAUUUCAUACCAGAAACCUGUGGGAAUGAGCUUUUUGCAUUUUGAGUUAAACUGUAGUAAAUCCAAUGCCAUUAGGGAAGUGGCUAUGGCAUUAAACAAUCUUCCAGUUUUAUUGAAACAUUUAAAGUUUCUGCAAACAGUACAAUGGGUCACAAGUUAUUAUAAAUGGGUUUUACAAUAAAUUUGGCUUUCCUGGGGUUUCGGGGUGUAUAGAUGGCACUCAUUUGCACUUAUCAGAUCUUCUGUAUAUGAAGAAAGGUUUUAGAACCGCAAGCAUUAUCAUUUCAAGAAUGUGCAAAUAAUCUGUGAUAGUGAUCUUAACAUUUUAAGUAUUGAUGUAACAUUUCAUGAUACAUUUGUAUGGCUUAACACAACUGAAUAUGCCUAUGCAGGACCUGCACCAUAAUAGUGAAAAAGUUUGGUUUUUAGGCAAGUAAAACAUCAUGAGCUCUGUCUCAGUAACCUGACUACAAAAUAAUACUCAAUCUAAAAGUAUAUUUAAAACUGCGAAGGCCGUUAAUAUAUAGUACUAUAGUAAUGUUUAUUGUCAUACCAGGAACACUGUUGACCAUUGUGAGUAUUGAAAGCCAGUUGGAGAUGCUUGUUGGUACAUAGAGUACUGCAUUAUGAUCAUCAUAUGAUGGCCAAGACCAUAAUUGUUAGCUUGUAUUGCAUAACAUGGUAAACACAUGGGUUUCCAGUGCCCCAACUCUCUGACGAAGAUGCUGAAAUUGAUGUUUCUUAUCAAAUUCAUAACAUUGUAUUUUUUGGGAGAGAAGAGGAAACACAGCACUUAGCACCAUGUCAACAUUCAAGGGUGGUUCAAUUGGAUUGUGGAGAACAGACAUUAAAUUUAGUCCAACCUCUGUAUUCUAGUAAUUUUAUGUAGAUAUUUUUAAAACUGCUGUUCUUAAUUAUGUGAACUGAGAGGGCAAGAAUAGCCUAAUUAUUUCUGCCUAUAAUUUUUUAAUUGUGCUUAGUGGAAAUAUACAUAUUUCCUUAAAAUUUUUGUUUUUAUGGUAAAGGAUGGAUUCAUAACUAUUUGAAAGCAAAAUUGUGAGGUUGUUUUAUUAAGACAAUGUUUUAAUCUGUCGUGCUCAAUUUGUUCUGUAUCAUUUUAUCUUUAUGUUAUAUAUAUUAUUGUAUAUACUGCUGUUUUAAUAAUAUAAUAGAAUGAAUAACAAAUCGACUAGUAAUUCAUAAUUCUUCUAGAUUUUGUUGGAUACUUACAUGAAUAUUACUUACAAAAUGAAAAACAUAAUUCAUAAUUUAGACAAAAUGUGGAUCAACCACCACUGAUUUUUGUUCAUUGUGAUAAUAAUAAUAAUAUAAAUAUAAAUAUUUACUAACAAUCACGCCACGUUAACUGGUCCCGUGGUAAGUUCGUAAAGAACUUGUGUUACAGGUACCAGAUAACGGAAAUAGAUGUAAGAUUUUUAUUAUACACAUAUUUAAUAUAUAUCCAUAACCCUGGAAAAUACAUUUAUAUUUAUCAUACAAAUAUCUUCCCUUGGCGGGAUUCGAACCCGCGACCCCCUUGUGUAGCGACCAUGUCACUUACCACUACACCAGACGGCCGUUAGAUAAGUUUGAUAAUUAUUUUUUUUGUGUAAUUUUGUUUUAUUUGAAUAAUAAUUCUUAAAUUAGGAAA